UACGGAGGGGGCGAGCGUUAUUCGGAAUUAUUGGGCGUAAAGGGCGCGUAGGCGGCUGUACAAGUCAAGGUGAAAUCCCUCGGCUCAACUGAGGAACUGCCUUUGAAACUGUACGGCUUGAGGCCGGGAGGGGGUAGCGGAAUUCCCAGUGUAGCGGUGAAAUGCGUAGAUACUGGGAGGAACACCAGUGGCGAAGGCGGCUACCUGGACCGGUUCUGACGCUGAGGCGCGAAAGCGUGGGUAGCAAACAGG
rnacentral:rRNA from 1 species